UCCCUUUAAUAAACUCUCCUCAAUUACCCCCACUGAGUGCACCAUCUGUUUCCUCCCAGAGUCCUCCCUGCUGCAAUCUUGAAGUGCACCCUCGUUUCAGAAGAGCAGCUCACUUCUCCAGACAAGAGUGCUGCUGAAUUUUAAAGAGGAUUCCACAUCUAUGCUAAAGGAACAUCAGAGGCGCCUUUGGACUGCUCAUGACUGGGGACUAAUUCUUGACCUGGAAGGAAGCAGGCACGAUGCUUCUUCAUUGGGAACGAUGCCUAUCAUUGCGUCAAGACUCUUUGCAUACCUUUAAGGUCAGUUCACCUUUGCUGAGCUUGAAUCCAAGCUACAGGUUGGGGGCCCAGCUCUGCUUUACCAGUCUCUGCUUAUCCAUGGACCAGUGCGCCGACUGGAACAUACUCUUCUCACGGCGAGGGCAGAAGUCAGACAGAAGCACUUGAGGGGAAACCUGAGUUUCUCCUAACAUCGAGGCUUGUAUUGGUACACUGUCACUUCUACCCACAUUCUAUUGGCCAAAACAAAUCCUAUGGACAAGCCCAACCUUAGUCGGGCAGGGAAAUACACUCUGUCUUGGGUGAGAAGCACGCCAAAGGCAUAUCCAAAGAGCAAGCAUACAGGAAGGGAUCAAGAAUUGGACGCAAUAGUGUAAUCCAUCUCAGGGGAUAUUAGGCUAAAGGGGGUUUGCUCUCCCAGACCUCUAGUGGGGGGGUGGUUAGUUGAGUUUAUUCAACCAGAUGCAGGCUAAGAAGGAAAAAGGAAGUGACCAUAGGUCAGUUUUGUCUACUGGAAGCAGGAUGCAGAGACAGGGGACUCACUUGUAUUGAAAAUAUGAAUAUCUUAAGAGGAGAGAGUAGAGGAGGAAGAGAUGGACAGAGAUCCUCAUGAUUCAGAAUAUAAUCCAUGCUGCUCUGGUAAGUAUGGCCCAUGGAUGGAUGGACUCUCUCCAUUCUCCAGUCAGAUGAGUCAUUUUUCUUCCCAUAGGAUGGGGGCAGCUAGAGAAUGGGGAGAGGAAUGGCAAACGUUCAUGACUAUUGCUCCUUUCUGAGGAGGGGAAGCAGGAAUCCUCUGGCUAGGGAGUAAGAGAAGAAGUGCUUGACUCACAGAUGUUUCUGUGGGAGGCAUGGACCCACAGGACACCACCAGGUGGAUGUCUGCAAUGUGGCUGGUAAGGGCUGGCAUUCCUGUUCCUUGGCCCCUUCUGGACAAGCACUGCUGGGGCCCCUGUGAUUCUAAGUCACUUCCUGCAGGGACCACCCCCCCCACACCCCCCGCCGUGCUUCGUGCUCAGGUGUCUGACCCUGAGACUUUGCCUACCUGCUGUUAGACCCUGCAUGGUCUCCUUCCAGGUAGGUGAUAACAGACAGCUUGUUAAUCAGACAAACUAAUCAUGCAGAUUAGGCCUGGUUCAAGCAUGGAUCAUCCCUUCCAGGGAAUCUCAUG
rnacentral:lncRNA from 1 species